UUGAUUUAUUUAAUCGUGUUACUCAGAAGAUACUGUAUAAAACAAGAGUUUGGGUCCUCUGGCGGGCCGUCCCGUUUUACGGGGCGCGGGCUGAUCCGCCGAGGCAACAUUAAGGUAUGUUCACAGGGGUUUGGGAGUUGUAAACUCGGUAAUGAUCCCUCCGCUGGUUCACCAACGGAGA
rnacentral:misc_RNA from 1 species